rnacentral:rRNA from 1 species
CCUACGGGUGGCAGCAGUGAGGAAUAUUGGUCAAUGGACGAGAGUCUGAACCAGCCAAGUAGCGUGAAGGAUGACUGCCCUAUGGGUUGUAAACUUCUUUUAUAAAGGAAUAAAACGAGGCACGUGUGCCUUUUUGCAUGUACUUGAUGAAUAAGGAUCGGCUAACUCCGUGCCAGCAGCCGCGGUAAUACGGAGGAUCCGAGCGUUAUCCGGAUUUAUUGGGUUUAAAGGGAGCGUAGAUGGGUUGUUAAGUCAGUUGUGAAAGUUUGCGGCUCAACCGUAAAAUUGCAAUUGAUACUGGCAGUCGUGAGUACAGUUGAGGUAGGCGGAAUGCGUGGUGUAGCGGUGAAAUGCUUAGAUAUCACGAAGAACCCCGAUUGCGAAGGCAGCUUACUAAACUGUGACUGACAUUGAUGCUCGAAAGUGUGGGUAUCAAACAGGAUUAGAUACCCCAGUAGUC